GAUCCCUUGGAUGGACAAUAAUAGCCCUACCACCAGACUAAUUAAGUGGUUGUGUCAAAAUUGACAAAACAGCACAUCCACAAGUAUGAUAGAAGCUGGUGCGCUGGAGGCAAAAUUCCUAAAAAAAUUAUAAUAUGCACUGAUGGGGAUUUGAUCCCUGGACCUCUCAUUUGAAAAUAAGGUUGCUAGCCACUGCACUAAACUCUGUUACUAGCAUGAAAGGAAUUCGAAUGUAUAUCAACUAGCCAAGACGGGAACAAAUAUGAGCUGGUGCACCACAAAAGAAAAUGAAACAUAAAAUCUGGGGCGCACGGGAGUCGAACCGGGGACCUCCAUCACAGCAGUUGGCUGCGCUAGCCAACUCAGCUAGCCUACAACUCGUUGACACAACCAGUGCCCACUAUAGACAACAUGUCCUUGCUAGAACGGAUCUAGAGGAGACUGAAUUCAGAUCGGGAGGACUGCUCACAACGGGGAUGCAGAGGCCGACGGCGCGAUGCUUCGGCGAAGAUGGCGGACUCGGAGGCCGGGAAUGGAUAGGGGGGAACGGUCGGGUGCGGAUCCGGCUGGAAGGGCUACGACGGUGAGGUUCACGGUGACGAGACGGCAGCCAUGGGGCUCCUGCAGGUGCUGAUUCAGACAACUUCAGAGAAAAAAAAUUCAGAAAGAGGGGGAGAGCAGGGGAGGAAGAAGAAGAGGAGAGCGAGGCAUAGGGACCUGCUGCUGCAGCUGGUUGGUUCAUCGACGCAUCGGCUGAACGGGUGAGGAGAGCACGGGUCCAACCAUUCCCGGAGUCAGUCGGUGGCGGCGUGGUGCAGCUUGAGCAUCGGGCCCUGGUUGGAGCUCCUGCAGCACGAGAGGGAGCACAGGGUACGGUCAACAGCAAGUUGACUCAGCCGGCAGCGCGUGACGGCUUGAGAAACGAACGGGAAAGGCUCGGGAUGGGCAGAUCCCGGCUCGGGCCACCCAUUCCCGACGACGAGGGAUCUUGGGGAGGCGCGGACGGCGACCUCCAUCAAGGCGGCGACGGGUUCCUCUGCCCUUGUCAACGAGAGAAGAGAGAGCUUAGCAGAGAUGGGAGAAGAUAAAAGCAGAGAGGGUAAGGGAAGGAGAGGCUCCGACGUGCCGACCUGGGAGGUGGCCGAUGCCCAUGGCGAGGCUGCAGGGAGGCACCUGAGGUGGAGCCUGCCUCGCGAGUAGAGGAUCUCGGGAAGCUCGGGGUCGAUCCCCUGCUAGCGCCGCACGCUGCUUGGACGAGGUCGGGGUCACCGAUAGGCGCAGCUGGCGGAAGGGGUGCCGGUGCCCAACCGACACUAGCGGCGAGGUGCGCGCAGAUGGGGCCGCUGCUGCGUCCGUACUCUGCUGGCGGUGCUCCUCCGAAGAUGUUGCUGCAGUGCAACAGGGGGAGAGGAAUGAGACACAGCGAGCAGGAGGGAAGGGAGCAGAGGAACACAGGGAGGGGGGACGGAGAGGGACAUGGCCGACCUGGAGGCUGGGUGCUGCUACUGCGCGCGGAUGCCUGCGGGGAAGCGGCGGCUGCACGCGAGCGCUCUGUUGGGUGCGAACGUGCAACGAGGAGGAGGGGGGUUGGUCGGGAGGAGAUCCCGAGGGAGAUGGUGGCGGCGGCGCUGCGGGAAUUGGGGAGGGAAUGGAUGGGACAAGGAUCCUAGACUUUAGGGUUUGACUGCUUAAAUAGGUAGGUGGAUUUGGAUAGGGCUGAUCUGGACCCUCCGAUCUCGAUCGGACGAUCGAAAAUACCAUGUUAGGGGGUCCAAUGGACAAACCGAUGACAGUUUGCGGCAAAACGGGGUUGAGCCGGACCUAACGGUUACAACCGACCGGUUCGGGUUUACUGGAAGUUUUCGGACCAGGUUGCGCGUAGGGGCGAUGCACCGUGCAGAGGCACUAGACGGAGAUGACAUGGAAAAACAGGCAACCCGCUGACAGAGUUUAAAAUAUCGAAACGUCCGACAAUUGACCGGCUAUAGUGCCGCUAUAUAAUAAACGGCACGAGUGACAAACGAGCUACGAUCGCGAUGAAAUUUGACGGACGGCCUACCUACACUAAAUUAAUACCGCACGCCAAGUUCCAGCUCAAUCAGAGAAAUUUUUUCGCACACUUUAAAACAAGGUUUCGAUGAUGUCGCGGGCGCGUGCGUGUGCGGUCAGGCUCGGAACGCACAACGACGUUAACCGGCAACUAACAACGGAUGCAAGUUUUGAAAACUGGCGGCAACGGAGAUGCCGAUGCAAUGCAGAUGAUGCGAAUGAUGCAAUGAUGAUGCGACAAAUAAAAAUAGACACACGACGAAAACGGAAAGAAAGGGGAAUCUUCUGGAACGUCGGCAUCGGGCUGUCACAACUCUCCUACACUACAAGAGGAUCUCGCCCCGAGAUCCAAGAAUGAAAGGGGGGAGAGGAUGAGAAAGAACAAGAUGUAAAACUUCGUCGCUUCUUUGACAAACGAGUGAAAUCAAAGAUCCUUGAAGGUUGGAAAGAGAUGAGGAAUGAUAUGAGAAAGAAGCAAGAAUUCACGGAAAAUUUCGAAGCAGUUCGGUAGGAAAAUGGGACAAAAAAUUCGAUAAGAUGGAAGAAUUAGACAAUAUACAUAACCAACAACUAAAUAGAACAAGGGAACACCAUGAUCUUGGUAGAACAACAAGAUUGACCCAAAAGAGCAAUAACACAAUGCCUUCAGAAUAAGAGAAUAUGAACUAGCUCAAGCGGAAGAAGAGAAUGAAGAAAAGAAUGACAACUAACAUCACAAUAGAAUUGGAGAGCCUCCAGACAGAGAAUUGACGUAGUAGUUGGAAAACCUACAACGCAAAGAACAAGAUAGUAGUGGGCUUAUGAAAAUCAUCUCAACAAAUAUGAGGUUACAACCAACCACUACAAGAACCAAGGACAGAUGAGAGGAAAGAUAUGAAAACUUCUUACACCGAGAGGAUACAUUGAGAACUGAGAUUAAUGACAAGCACCAUGAUAGCACAAUCCCUAGGAAAGCUUUAGGUGAAAUCCAAACCAAGAUAGCUCAAUGAAGAAAUCAUGGGUUGAAAAUACCUCAUGAUCCUAGAGUCGGUGGAAUUAAUUAUCUCAUUCUUGAAAGGAAAUCUCUUCGAGGCUCCUACACUAACAAGAAGGCUAUAAUACCACCUCAAAGGAUAAAGGAAGAACAAUUGCACAUAGAAACGCAAGAGAAAGGAUACUUGAGGUUCUCCAAUACGAAUCUUGAAGAACACUUGAGAACGGAUAGAAACCUUGAUGAACCACCAAGAAGGACCUCUGUAUACCAAUGAACGAUUGAAAGAUACGAAUGUAGAAGGAUAUAAUAUUAUGACCUUGCCAAGAUUUAGAAGAAGCCUCACAAAGAGAUACUUAAAGGAACUUGGAACUCCGGAAAAGAAAGAUAAGAACACUUGAGAAAAGAAAUUGAUACCAACAGCCACUCCGGAAGAAGAAUUUUAAAAUCUCUUGGAAGAAGGAAGGACAAGAAUAAGAAUUAUGUUAUGCUCAUCCUUCAUCAAAUUAAACUGAUGACAAGCAACGGAUUUAGCGUACAACUUAUUCUUCUUGAAAGAAUCUUGAAGAGACAGAGAGAUAAGCACCACUUGAUGCAUAAUUGAAGGAAGCACCGGUAAGAAUUCACAAUUGAAUGGGAAUACCAAGAAAGCAUGGAUACACAUGAGAAUGAAGAGAUCAAGAUCCACCUGAGAGAGAAAUUUAAACAAGACACCAGAAUAAUUGAGAGAUGAACGAAGAGACAACAAUUGACAAGAUUUGAGGAUGAAAGCUGAAAGCUGAGAACGAAGAAUCUUCAGAAAUGAUGGCCUUCGGAGGAACGAGAAAUAAAAAAAACAACUCAAAAAUGCACCGGAUAGCAAGAAAGGGAUUACUCAUGAUUGAAAACAAAUUCAAGAUGAUAACACGAAGCUGAGAUGACAAUCUUCACAAGAAUGGAAAAAGACUGAGAGAAACACUCCUUCGAAUUUGCAAGCUAAGAAUGAUGAUGAGGAACAACACCAAGAAUAGCUGAGACCUCCGGAAUAAAGAAGAAUACAAGAUUGAGCCAAAUAUGAGAAUUAACUCCAAUUGAUCUUGAAGAAUGAAUAUGACUGAUGAAAAUCAUACUUACGUCAUAGUUGAAAAGAAUUAAAGAUCUCCGGAUGAUUAAAAGAGCCAGACAAGAUCGUGGGAAAACCUGUGGGUUAUGGGCCCACUCAAACAAACCACCGUUAGAAAAGAUUGCUUAGAAGAGAGAUAUUGCACCGGUAUAAAGAGAACUAGAUGAGGUUAGCACCUCGAAAUAACUAAAAGAAUUGAAAACAAGAAACUACUGAAAUAUCUUUAACACUCCGGAUAGAAAAGAGAGGAAUGAAUAACAAGAAGACUGAUAAGAAUUUCCAACAUGGGAAAGAAUUACAAGGAUAAAAGGGAUAUGAUGAACACGGAUAUCUGAAUUAAAUUCACCGAAAAAGAACAAAAUGAAGAAAUGAUGAACUCGACUCCUGAGAAUCUUCAUAAUGAAUCACCAGUUACGAAAGGAAGAAGAGAUAGCGGAAGCACAAUGAAAUGAAUGCGCUUGGAAAAAGGGCGGGAGGGCGGGGAAAAACAAAGACGACUUGGGGCAGAUGAGAUGAACUCCGGAUGGAAUAAGAGAAUGCUCUUGACAAAUUGGAGAGGAUUGAAUCCACUUGGAGAGAAACACACCGGUUGAAUGGAAUUGAUACGACGAUCUGAUUGAUCAAAGAAUUUGCAUUUCCAUAAAAAUAUGAGAACACAGAUUCGGAAAGAUCUGAAAUCACCACUUGACAUUGAAACAACUUGAAUUACCAUAGUUCAACAAAACAAAGGGUGUGGCUUACGAAACAAGCCAGAACAAACUCAUGAGAAAGAUUUCGUCCGAUAUUUUCGUGGACAGGAUCGCACGGGCUCGAUUUUACAGUAGCCAUCAAGUGCAAGGCAGUGCACCCGACAUACGAAGCGUCCCCGAGUCGUAGCAAGCUACAGGGACUCUUUAAGACACAACGUGUACUGCUGUAAGUCGACCGUGAACAAACGAAUCCAGUAGAUGUCGAACCCUAACCUAACAUCAUGCAUUUGUUGGAAGAAUGUCCUAUAAGUAACUACUUGAAUUCCCAUCUAUGAAUUCCCGAAAUAUCUGGUCAUGCAAUCUGGUACACGGAUACAAGGAGUAAUAUCACACAACUCCUAUACUAACCCGUCACUUGUAUCACAUCCGUCAACACACGACCAGAAUCACAGACCUUCAUCUACAGCAGACCCUCGUGAUCACAACGAUACAAAGUAUGGCAGUACCCCCGAACAAUCUGCACCAGUACUGGGGACAUCGGGGUUAUCUCGCCACUACUAGUAUUGAAGCAAUUACGAACAUCCUUCGUCCUGAGAUACCAAGAAAUCUGAAUGAUAAUGAUGUGCUCAAGAAUCCCCUGGAGCUCAACUCCCCGGAAGAAAAUCAAGUCAGACAGGAGGCACCAAGACAGAACUCCGUCACAUCGGCAUCAUAUAGAUCCGAAGAAUAUCCGCGUGAUCCUAAAACAAAUUUGAGUGAGAAGAGGAGUAGAAUAAAUUAUUACGUCAAGAUUCCUCAUCAGAGCAUAGAAGAGGAGAAAAAAGAGUCCUACUCUCCGAUAUAUAACUAGACUCAAAUAGUUUUUCACUAGACUCGACUCGGCCAAGUUCGAUCAAUCAAGGGGGCUCCUAGGUCGGUCCUUGCUCUGAUACCAACUUGUCACGCCCAAGAUGCGACCCUAUCCUCAAUUUGGUACGAGGGCCUCGUCAGGGAUAGAAGCGCAUCUCGUCGUGUCGCAAGAAUGGAUAUCGUUACAAGUACCUGUACUGAAAAGAAGAGAUAUAAGAAGAGUUGGCUUACACUCGCCACAAGCUACAUCAGAGUCACAUCAGUACAUUACAUAUUCAUCAAGAGUAAGAGCAGGGUCCGACUACGGACGAAAAUAAACGACAAAAGAAGAACGACGUCCAUCCUUGCUAUCCCAGGCUGCCGGCCUGGAACCCAUCCUAGAUCGAUGAAGAAGAAGAAGAAGCAACUUCAAAUGAACAAUCAACGCGCUCGCGUCACGUAACCUUUACCUGUACCUGCAACUGGUGUUGUAGUAAUCUGUGAGCCACAGGGGACUCAGCAAUCUCAUUUCCAAAGGUAUCAAGACUAGCAAAGCUUAAUGGGUGAGGCAUGGUUAAGUGGUGAGAUUGCAGCAGCGGCUAAGCAUAUAUAUGGUGGCUAACUUACGAGUACAAGAGAUAAGAGGGGGAAAAUCUACGCAUAACAGACGUGAACUACUGAUGAUCAAAUGAAUGAUCCUGAACACCUACCUACGUCAGACAUAACCCCACCGUGUCCUCGAUCGGAGAAGGAACUCACGAAAGAGACAGUCACGGUUACGCACACAGUUGGCAUAUUUUUAAUUAAUUAACUUCAAGUUAUCUAGAACCAGUGUUAAACAAAGUUUCCACGUUGCCACAUAACCGCGGGCACGGCUUUCCGAAAGAUUUAACCCUGCAGGGGUGCUCCAACUAGUCCAUCACAAAUUACCACAAGCCGCAUAGAAAUCCUCAAUCACGAAGCUCGCGAUCUCGUCGGAUUCCCUAGUGGAAAACCUCAACUCUGAGAUUACCCAAAGCAUCACCGGAAUCCCGAUGCACAAGAUAUCUCGUCAAAGGUAAAACUAAUCCAGCAAGGCCGCCCAACGUGUCGACGAUCCCGAUAGGAGUCGCGUACCUCGUUCUCAGGACACGUCGGAUGACCUAGACGUCGGGAUCGCUAAACCUCCGGGUGACCAGAGGGGCGCCGGACAUCGCUCAGGUGGGACCAACACUCAUGUGGAGCACUGGCCCGGGGGUUGAUUAAAUUAGUCCGCGGGUGCCGGCGGGUCCCUAUGCAUUAUUAUUAGGUUAUUAGGCAAAUGUAGUACCAAAGUUGGGCCUUGCCAGACCAGCUUUAAUCUAAAACGAAUUAUCAAGGGGGUCCCCAUAACAACCCCGAUCGUGUUAGGAGCGCUCAUAUAUGGAACAUAACACCGGUAGCCGAAACUAAGGGGGCAAAGGUGGAACAAAACACCAGGCUAGAAAAGCCGAGCCUUCCACCUUUUACCAAGUAUAUAGGUGCACUAAAUUAAAUAACAUAUAAUAUGGUGAUAUAACAAGGAACCCAUGCUUUCGCAUGGAAGCAUCUACACCUACAACUAGCAACGCUAACACAGGGUUAAGAAAGCGGUAACAUAGCCAAUCAGUGGUUUGCUAGGUCGAACAGGUUGAAGGUUAACAUGGCAUUGUUGAGGGGCUAAUAUUUAACAUGUGGUAGGAAACGAGACAUAAUCGAUAGAAACGGUAAAACUAGCAUGGCAAUGAUAGUAAUGGUAUCUGGGGAAAUGAUCAUCUUGCCUGAGAUCCCGCUUGGAAGAAGUAUGCCUCCGUGAAGCAGACGAACCGACGUAGUCGAACGGUCCUCACAUCCGACACGCUUGCGGAACUCUAUCGAGCAGGAGGAAACCGGAAACAAGCAUCAACACACGAGAAUCACCACACGAUGCAAGACACAUAUGAUGCACGAACAGUCUAAUGCAAGGCAUGACAAUCACAACAAUCAAACACUACACAUUAAGUGAAGCUCGAUAUGCAACGAGUUGCAUAUCGACGAAACUCCACGUCUAAUUAUUUAGUUCACUCCCGUUCAGGUACACGGAUAUAUUAAAUGUUGGUAAACAUGGCACGAGGGUGAAGCACAAAUUAAUCUACCUAGCUAGGCAUUUUAAAUGAGAUCGGAAACGACAUAUAGCAUCUCCGAAAUAACCCCAUGUGUUAAAUCUUAAUUCUGUCCAGAUUUGUCCUAAUCACAUUUUAGGUUUGUUAAACGGCAAAACAAAGUGGUUCACGUGUUUCUACUCGUCGUUCUGGCCCAUCUACAUAUAUGGCACAUCUCCAAGAGAGAUACGGUUAAAUAGUUACGACCCAAACCGUUUAUAUUACGUCGACAUGCAAACCGAAGCAAAACAGCACACCUAACAGUUUUAAAUAUGCAUGGGAGAAGGUUAUUGUGAAACUACAGAAAAUUCUAAGCAACUUACAUGUUGAAAUCAUUUUAAACCGGUGCACGGUUAGAUGUAUACGAAUUUUACAAAAGGGCAUAUGAAUAUGUUCAAAAAAUAAAAAAAAAUGGAAUUGCUAGGAUUUGAACCCCAGAUCCCUUGGAUGGACAAUAAUAGCCCUACCACCAGACUAAUUAAGUGGUUGUGUCAAAAUUGACAAAACAGCACAUCCACAAGUAUGAUAGAAGCUGGUGCGCUGGAGGCAAAAUUCCUAAAAAAAUUAUAAUAUGCACUGAUGGGGAUUUGAUCCCUGGACCUCUCAUUUGAAAAUAAGGUUGCUAGCCACUGCACUAAACUCUGUUACUAGCAUGAAAGGAAUUCGAAUGUAUAUCAACUAGCCAAGACGGGAACAAAUAUGAGCUGGUGCACCACAAAAGAAAAUGAAACAUAAAAUCUGGGGCGCACGGGAGUGGAACGGGGACCUCCAUCACAGCAGUUGGCUGCGCUAGCCAACUCAGCUAGCCUACAACUCGUUGACACAACCAGUGCCCACUAUAGACAACAUGUCCUUGCUAGAACGGAUCUAGAGGAGACUGAAUUCAGAUCGGGAGGACUGCUCACAACGGGGAUGCAGAGGCCGACGGCGCGAUGCUUCGGCGAAGAUGGCGGACUCGGAGGCCGGGAAUGGAUAGGGGGGAACGGUCGGGUGCGGAUCCGGCUGGAAGGGCUACGACGAUGAGGUUCACGGUGAUGAGACGGCAGCCAUGGGGCUCUUGCAGGUGCUCAUUCAGACAACUUCAGAGAAAAAAAAUUCAGAAAGAGGGGGAGAGCAGGGGAGGAAGAAGAAGAGAAGAGCGAGGCAUAGGGACCUGCUGCUGCAGCUGGUUGGUUCAUCGACGCAUCGGCUGAACGGGUGAGGAGGGCAUGGGUCCAACCAUUCCCGGAGUCAGUCGGUGGCGGCGUGGUGCAGCUUGAGCAUCGGGCCCUGGUUGGAGCUCCUGCAGCACGGGAGGAAGCACAGGGCGCGGUCAAUAGCAAGUUGACUCAGCCGGCAGCGCGUGACGGCUUGAGAAACGAACGGGAAAGGCUCGGGACGGGCAGAUCCCGGCUCGGGCCACCCAUUCCCGACGACGAGGGAUCUUGGGGAGGCGCGGACGGCGACCUCCAUCAAGGCGGCGACGGGUUCCUCUGCCCUGGUCAACGAGAGAAGAGAGAGCUUAGCAGAGAUGGGAGAAGAGAAAAGCAGAGAGGGUAGGGGAAGGAGAGGCUCCGACGUGCCGACCUGGGAGGUGGCCGAUGCCCAUGGCGCGGCUGCAGGGAGGCACCUGAGGUGGAGCCUGCCUCGCGAGCAGAGGAUCUCGGGAAGCUCGGGGUCGAUCCCCUGCUAGCACCGCACGCUGCUUGGACGAGGUCGGGGUCACCGAUAGGCGCAGCUGGCGGAAGGGGUGCCGGUGCCCAACCGACACUAGCGGCGAGGUGCGCGCAGAUGGGGCCGCUGCUGCGUCCGUACUCUGCUGGCGGUGCUCCUCCGAAGAUGUUGCUGCAGUGCAACAGGGGGAGAGGAAUGAGACACAGCGAGCAGGAGGGAAGGGAGCAGAGGAACACAGGGAGGGGGGACGGAGAGGGACAUGGCCGACCUGGAGGCUGGGUGCUGCUACUGCGCGCGGAUGCCUGCGGGGAAGCGGCGGCUGCACGCGAGCGCUCUGUUGGGUGCGAACGUGCAACGAGGAGGAGGGGGGUUGGUCGGGAGGAGAUCCCGAGGGAGAUGGUGGCGGCGGCGCUGCGGGAAUUGGGGAGGGAAUGGAUGGGAC
rnacentral:lncRNA from 1 species